UACGGAGGGUGCAAGCGUUAAUCGGAAUUACUGGGCGUAAAGCGCACGCAGGCGGUUUGUUAAGUCGGAUGUGAAAUCCCCGGGCUCAACCUGGGAACUGCAUUCGAAACUGGCAAGCUUGAGUCUUGUAGAGGGGGGUAGAAUUCCAGGUGUAGCGGUGAAAUGCGUAGAGAUCUGGAGGAAUACCGGUGGCGAAGGCGGCCCCCUGGACAAAGACUGACGCUCAGGUGCGAAAGCGUGGGGAGCAAACAGG
rnacentral:rRNA from 1 species